CAGCCGCCGCGGUAAUACGGAGGGCGCGAGCGUUACCCGGAUUUACUGGGCGUAAAGGGCGUGUAGGCGGCCUGGGGCGUCCCAUGUGAAAGGCCACGGCUCAACCGUGGAGGAGCGUGGGAUACGCUCAGGCUAGAGGGUGGGAGAGGGUGGUGGAAUUCCCGGAGUAGCGGUGAAAUGCGCAGAUACCGGGAGGAACGCCGAUGGCGAAGGCAGCCACCUGGUCCACUUCUGACGCUGAGGCGCGAAAGCGUGGAGAGCAAACCGGAUUAGAGACCCGCGUAGUCCCUGUCUCUUAUAC
rnacentral:rRNA from 1 species